CGGCAGGCCUAACACAUGCAAGUCGAGCGAGAAAGCCUUCGGGUGAGUAGAGCGGCGGACGGGUGAGUAACGCGUGGGAAUCUACCUAGUAGUGGGGGACAACAGUCGGAAACGACUGCUAAUACCGCAUACGUCCUAAGGGAGAAAGCGGGGGAUCUUCGGACCUCGCGCUAUUAGAUGAGCCCGCGUAAGAUUAGCUAGAUGGUGGGGUAAAGGCCUACCAUGGCGACGAUCUUUAGCUGGUCUGAGAGGAUGAUCAGCCACAUUGGGACUGAGACACGGCCCAAACUCCUACGGGAGGCAGCAGUGGGGAAUAUUGCACAAUGGGGGAAACCCUGAUGCAGCCAUGCCGCGUGUGUGAAGAAGGCCUUCGGGUUGUAAAGCACUUUCAGUUGUGAGGAAAGGGUAGUAAUUAAUACUUGCUAUCUGUGACGUUAACAACAGAAGAAGCACCGGCUAACUUCGUGCCAGCAGCCGCGGUAAUACGAGGGGUGCAAGCGUUAAUCGGAAUUACUGGGCGUAAAGCGUUCGUAGGCGGUCUAUUAAGCAAGAUGUGAAAGCCCCGGGCUCAACCUGGGAACUGCAUUUCGAACUGGGCGACUAGAGUACGAGAGAGGAUAGUGGAAUUUCAGGUGUAGCGGUGAAAUUCGUAGAUAUAGGAAGGAACACCAGUGGCGAAGGCGACACUCUGGACAAAAACUGACGCUGAGGUGCGAAAGCGUGGGGAGCAAACGGGAUUAGAUACCCCGGUAGUCCACGCCGUAAACGAUGUCUACUAGCCGUUGGGAGACUUGAUCUCUUAGUGGCGCAGCUAACGCGAUAAGUAGACCGCCUGGGGAGUACGGCCGCAAGGCUAAAACUCAAAUGAAUUGACGGGGGCCCGCACAAGCGGUGGAGCAUGUGGUUUAAUUCGAAGCAACGCGAAGAACCUUACCCGCUCUUGACAUCCACAGAAGCCAGUAGAGAUACAGGUGUGCCUUCGGGAACUGUGAGACAGGUGCUGCAUGGCUGUCGUCAGCUCGUGUUGUGAAAUGUUGGGUUAAGUCCCGUAACGAGCGCAACCCUUGUCCUUAGUUGCCAUCAGGUAAGCUGGGAACUCUAAGGAGACUGCCGGUGACAAACCGGAGGAAGGUGGGGACGACGUCAAGUCAUCAUGGCCCUUACGAGCGGGGCUACACACGUGCUACAAUGGGGAAUACAAAGGGUUGCGAAGCAGCGAUGUGGAGCUAAUCCCAUAAAAUUUCUCGUAGUCCGGAUUGGAGUCUGCAACUCGACUCCAUGAAGUCGAAAUCGCUAGUAAUCGUUAAUCAGAAUGUCACGGUGAAUACGUUCCCGGGCCUUGUACACACCGCCCGUCACACCAUGGGAGUGGAUUGCACCAGAAGGGCUAGUCUAACUUCGGAGGACGGUCUCCACG
rnacentral:rRNA from 1 species